UGGGGAGGAAAAAAAAGAAGAAGAUUGGCAACAGAUGUUAGCUCAGGGCUAAUCUACCUCACUAAAAAGCAUUAAAAAAAAAGAUAGUAAUAAAAUUCUUUACAUAUUAAAAACAAAGCGUUUUUAACCUUCUAUACCUUUAUGCUUCCAAUUCUUUUUCAGACUGAAUUCUCUCUACAAACACAUGAUUGCUUAAUACCAGUGUCUGAGUUCCCUGUAAUUUCCAGAUCUCUGGGUUUCAUUGUUAAAUAGCACUGUCCAAUAUGGUAGCCACUAGUCAGUGGCUGUUGAGCACUUGAAAUGUGGCUGGUCUGACUUGAGAUGUAUUGUAAGUGUAAAAUAUGUAGUUGAUCUCAAAGACUUAGUACGUGAAAUGGACAGAUUCUAAGAUGGCUCCCAAUAAUCCUGCCUCACACCCUUGUGGAAUCUCCUCCCUUUUGAAUGAGUGUGGGACCUGUGACUUGCUUUUAACCAAUAGAACAUGGCAAAGAUGAUAGGAUGUCAAGUCCACAGUUAUGUUAUAUAGAUUGUAACUGUCAUCUUGCUAACAGACUCUAUUGCCUCUCCUUUUCUGGCUUUGAUGGAGAGACCCGUGUGGCAAGGAACUGAGAGUGGAUUCCAGCUGACAGCCAGCAGCAAGGUGAGACCUCUAGUCUGAUAACUCACAAAGAACUGAAUCCUGCCUUCAACCAUGUGGUCUUGGAAGAGGAUCUUUCCCCAUUGCAGUCUCAGGCAUGUGCUGCCACCCACUCGCCAGGGAAUUGCUGCUGUCCAGAGCUGUUGAUGCUACAACCCUUCAGUGUGUUGGGACAGAAGAAGUGCUGAGAAUAACUAACAGGGAAGAAUUCACCCUGAUCUGACCUAACAUCUGUCACCAAUCUUCCUCUUUUUCUUUUUCUUCACCCCAAAGCCCCAGUACAUGGUUGUAGAUCACAGUGGUAAGUCCUUCUAGUUCUCUAUGUGGCUGCCACUACAGCAAGGCAACGGACGGACAGGUGGUGUGCUUCUGAGCCCAGGAAAUGAACUGGGGCCAUGGGGGUGAGAACGCAGAACUUUAACCACUCGACCAUCAGGGCUAGCUCAGAGAAGGCACUCGAGAUAGGAACGUAUACUUCCCCUCCUGUGAGGCCGGUAUCAGUAAUGUCCUAUUGGUAAAACCAGUAUUAGUACUCCUGAGGGUCAAGGUCAUGUUGACCUGCUAAUUUGCAGCUGAAUACCUUUUUGAAACUUUGAUCAAUAUGUAUCCUGGGCGUGUUUAAUGCAUGUUCUUUGUUCUGAAAAGGUUAUAAGACUGUACCAAAAACCAUGCUUCUCCAGAACGCUUUCUUCCUUUGUGGAAACUGCCCUCCAGGGUUAUAAUCCUCCCCUAGUGUUACCACACAAAGUGGGGAUUCACUCACCCCAUGUGCAUAAACAGCCAAUUAAUUACAGCAACGGCUUUUGGGAAAAGAGAUCAGCUUUAUUCUGCAAGAUCAACCUACAAGGAGACAGGCGGCGCGUACCCUCAGAUCUGUCUCCCUGACUCAGGAUUUGGGGUGAAAUUGAAGAGGUUAGGGAGAACAGGCUGGCACGCGGAAACGCUGGUGGGACAGGUUUUGAUUGGUG